rnacentral:tRNA from 1 species
CAUUAGGUGGCUGAAUUAAUAAGCAUUGGUCUCUUAAACCACUUUAUAGUUUUAAACUCCUAAUGG